rnacentral:rRNA from 1 species
CUACGGGUGGCUGCAGUGGGGAAUCUUAGACAAUGGGGGCAACCCUGAUCUAGCCAUGCCGCGUGAGUGAUGAAGGCCUUAGGGUUGUAAAGCUCUUUCAGCUGGGAAGAUAAUGGCGGUACCAGCAGAAGAAGCCCCGGCUAACUCCGUGCCAGCAGCCGCGGUAAUACGGAGGGGGCUAGCGUUGUUCGGAAUUACUGGGCGUAAAGCGCACGUAGGCGGACUGGAAAGUUGGGGGUGAAAUCCCGGGGCUCAACCUCGGAACUGCCUUCAAAACUAUCAGUCUGGAGUUCGAGAGAGGUGAGUGGAAUUCCGAGUGUAGAGGUGAAAUUCGUAGAUAUUCGGAGGAACACCAGUGGCGAAGGCGGCUCACUGGCUCGAUACUGACGCUGAGGUGCGAAAGCGUGGGGAGCAAACAGGAUUAGAUACCCCAGUAGUC